rnacentral:rRNA from 1 species
UACAGAGGGUGCGAGCGUUGUCCGGAUUUAUUGGGCGUAAAGAGCUCGUAGGCGGCUUGUCGCGUCGAAUGUGAAAUCUCAGGGCUCAACUCUGACAUUGCAUUCGAUACGGGCAGGCUAGAGUUCGGUAGGGGAGACUGGAAUUCCUGGUGUAGCGGUGAAAUGCGCAGAUAUCAGGAGGAACACCGGUGGCGAAGGCGGGUCUCUGGGCCGAUACUGACGUGAGGAGCGAAAGCGUGGGGAGCGAACAGG